UCCGGGAACUCUGACGGCUCAACCGGUAGGCUUUGGGGGGAUACUGCCAGGCUUGGAACCGGGAGAAGUAAAAGGUACUACAGGGGUAGGAGUGAAAUCUUGUAAUCCCUGUGGGACCACCUGUGGCGAAGGCGUCUUACCAGAACGGGUUCGACGGUGAGGGACGAAAGCUGGGGGCACGAACCGGAUUAGAUACCCGGGUAGUCCCAGCCGUAAACGAUGCUCGCUAGGUGUCAGGCAUGGCGCGACCGUGUCUGGUGCCGCAGGGAAGCCGUGAAGCGAGCCACCUGGGAAGUACGGCCGCAAGGCUGAAACUUAAAGGAAUUGGCGGGGGAGCACAACAACGGGUGGAGCCUGCGGUUUAAUUGGACUCAACGCCGGACAACUCACCGGGGGCGACAGCAAUAUGUAGGCCAAGCUGAAGACUUUGCCUGAAUCGCUGAGAGGAGGUGCAUGGCCGUCGCCAGUUCGUACUGUGAAGCAUCCUGUUAAGUCAGGCAACGAGCGAGACCCGUGCCCACUGUUACCAGCAUAUCCUCCGGGAUGAUGGGUACUCUGUGGGGACCGCCGGUGUUAAAUCGGAGGAAGGUAGUGGCCACGGU
rnacentral:rRNA from 1 species